GCCAUUGUUUGCAGAAUGUCAGGUUGCAAACCUAACAUAGAAGCAUCCAUUCUUGGUUGCAUAAACGGAGUUGCACCAAAUCCCUGAAAACUAAGCGACUGCAUCCCUUGAUCUCCCAUGUCACCACGCAGCCAUGAGAGUGGAGAAUUCAUAGUCAAACCAACAUUUGGAAAACCAGGGAGAGAAGGUAGUCCAGAUGGCCAAGGCCGCUUUAGCCUAAGGGAAAAAGGAGAAGGAUACAUAGGAAAUGUUGUCAGAGGUUCAAUU
rnacentral:misc_RNA from 1 species